CAUGGUUGUCGUCAGCUCGUGUCGUGAGACGUUGGGUUAAGUCCGCAACGAGCGCAACCCCUAUUGUUAGUUGCCAUCAUUCAGUUGGGCAUCUAGCGAGACUGCCGGUAAUAAACCGGAGGAAGGUGGGGAUGACGUCAAAUCAUCAUGCCCCUUAUGACCUGGGCUACACACGUGCUACAAUGGUUGGUACAACGAGUUGCGAGUCGGUGACGGCGAGCUAAUCUCUUAAAGCCAAUCUCAGUUCGGAUUGUAGGCUGCAACUCGCCUGCAUGAAGCCGGAAUCGCUAGUAAUCGCGGAUCAGCAUGCCGCGGUCGAAUACGUUCCCGGGCCUU
rnacentral:rRNA from 1 species